UAAAAGUCGUUUCAGUGACACAUGUUUCAAGCAUAUAGUUUUACUUAUUUACGAUGGUCUAGAAAAGAAAACUGUCGUUAUGAAGAAAUCUAUUCAAAAGGUUGGCAUGAGAGUAACCCUUCAAUAUAAUGACUACACCUUCCAUGAGGGAUCAAUUUCAAGUGAUAAAAUGUUUUGUUUUGUUGUAAAAACCACUUCUUAUUUAGGGGG
rnacentral:lncRNA from 1 species